GAUGAAGAACGUAGCGAAAUGCGAUAAGUAAUGUGAAUUGCAGAAUUCAGUGAAUCAUCGAAUCUUUGAACGCACAUUGCGCCCAUUAGUAUUCUAGUGGGCAUGCCUGUUCGAGCGUCAUUUCAACCCUUAAGCCUAGCUUAGUAUUGGGAAUCGACUUUACUGUCGUUCCUCAAAUUCAACGGCGGAUUUAUAGCAAUCUCUGAACGUAGUAAUUUUUUUUCUCGUUUUUGAAAUACUAUAAACCUCAGCCGCUAAACCCCCCAUUUCUUAUGGUUGACCUCGGAUCAGGUAGGAAUACCCGCUGAACUUAAGCAUAUCAAUAAGCGGAGGA
rnacentral:misc_RNA from 1 species